rnacentral:tmRNA from 1 species
GUAGGGCAUGCCGAGCACCAGUUCGCUCGUAAAUCCACUGGAAAAAAUAUAAACGCCAACGACGAGCGUUUCGCUCUGGCCGCUUAAGCGGUGAGCCGCUGCACUAGUUUGUCUUUGGGCUAGGUAGGGAAACCUACAGCAGCGUCAUAUACAAGGAAUCGGCAUUAGCUGGGUUACGAAGUUAAUGCUUAAAUCUUAGUGACUCGCCAAGGAAGGGCCCGUCAGCCGGCAUGAUCCGAGGUUAAAAUUUUAAAAUGGGUUGACUAAGCAUGUAGAACUGC